UUCAGUCAUGAUUUUAGACAGUUUUAGAACUGCCUAUUCCUCGACAGUUCUGUUAAGUUUCUCAGGGCAGAAGAACUCUGAGACCCAGUGCUGAGAUUCGGUUCAGCCAUUUCCAGGUCCGCUCCUGGGCUUAUUUUAUGUGAUUUUUGCUCCAUUUCCACAGUGUGUAAUUUAAUGAUGGAGCUCAAAGCUUCGCGAUCCCUACAUCCUCUGAUUGAGUGUUACAGUAGCUGGGUUCCUGCCUCCUUUGCGCACAAGCUCCCCCCCUCCUCCCACCAUCUCAGCUCAGCUUCCCUCCAGUGAUCCAAACAGCCUUCAGUCUGAAGGUUGGCUAGGCUAUGCUGCUCAUGCUUUUAAACCUGCUUCUCAGCCAAAUACUGAGGCCCAAGGAUCAGACAACCCCAGGAGGUAACUCACAUUCUGCCGUUCAUUGAUGGAUUUUGAAGAGAUUGAACCUAGUUUUCAUACCCCUUCCCAUUUCAUCUUCAAACAGCAUUUAUCAUGAUAGUUGACUUCCUGUCUCCAAAAACACAUCUUCUGCCAACCAGGCUCUCCUCCAGCAGCCAACA